UGCAGUCGAGCGGACAGAUGGGAGCUUGCUCCCUGAUGUUAGCGGCGGACGGGUGAGUAACACGUGGGUAACCUGCCUGUAAGACUGGGAUAACUCCGGGAAACCGGGGCUAAUACCGGAUGCUUGUUUGAACCGCAUGGUUCAAACAUAAAAGGUGGCUUCGGCUACCACUUACAGAUGGACCCGCGGCGCAUUAGCUAGUUGGUGAGGUAACGG
rnacentral:rRNA from 1 species